GCUCCGGUUGCCCAAAUCGACUUCAACAAUAGUAGGGGCUCUAGAACUUGCUUCACCAACAGAUUGAUGCAUAAGCUGAGCAGAACUGGCAGAUACCCUCGGCGACGUAAUUCCGCUCAAUCUCAGCACCGGAAGACCCACCCGUUUGGAACGCAAAGAUAUGGCGUUAGGGUUUUUGAAGCGUAGAUAGAAAUCGUGCAAAGUUUUAGGCUUGGAUAUGGAAGAAUUGGCAGCGGAGAGAGAAGGCGAUAGUGC
rnacentral:misc_RNA from 1 species